rnacentral:rRNA from 1 species
GAUGAACGCUGGCGGCGCGCCUAACACAUGCAAGUCGAACGGCACCCCUCCUCGGAGGGUAGCGAGUGGCGAACGGCUGAGUAACACGUGGAGAACCUGCCCCCUCCCCCGGGAUAGCCGCCCGCAAGGACGGGUAAUACCGGAUACCCCGGGUUGCCGCAUGGCACCCCGGCUAAAGCCCCGACGGGAGGGGAUGGCUCCGCGGCCCAUCAGGUAGACGGCGGGGUGACGGCCCACCGUGCCGACAACGGGUAGCCGGGUUGAGGGACCGACCGGCCAGAUUGGGAGGGAGACACGGGCCAGAAAUCUACGGGAGGGAGCAGUGGGGAAUCUUGCGCAAGGGGGGGAACCCUGACGCAGCGACGCCGCGUGCGGGACGGAGGCCUUGGGGUCGUAAACCGCUUUCAGCAGGGAAGAGUCAAGACUGUACCUGCAGAAGAAGCCCCGGCUAACUACGUG